rnacentral:rRNA from 1 species
GAUGAACGCUGGCGGCGUGCCUAAUACAUGCAAGUCGAGCGAACGGACGAGAAGCUUGCUUCUCUGAUGUUAGCGGCGGACGGGUGAGUAACACGUGGAUAACCUACCUAUAAGACUGGGAUAACUUCGGGAAACCGGAGCUAAUACCGGAUAAUAUUUUGAACCGCAUGGUUCAAAAGUGAAAGACGGUCUUGCUGUCACUUAUAGAUGGAUCCGCGCUGCAUUAGCUAGUUGGUAAGGUAACGGCUUACCAAGGCAACGAUGCAUAGCCGACCUGAGAGGGUGAUCGGCCACACUGGAACUGAGACACGGUCCAGACUCCUACGGGAGGCAGCAGUAGGGAAUCUUCCGCAAUGGGCGAAAGCCUGACGGAGCAACGCCGCGUGAGUGAUGAAGGUCUUCGGAUCGUAAAACUCUGUUAUUAGGGAAGAACAUAUGUGUAAGUAACUGAGCACAUCUUGACGGUACCUAAUCAGAAAGCCACGGCUAACUACGUA